rnacentral:rRNA from 1 species
GACGUAGGGCGCGAGCGUUGUCCGGAUUUAUUGGGCGUAAAGAGCUCGUAGGCGGCUUGUCGCGUCGAAUGUGAAAACUCGGGGCUCAACCCCGCGCUUGCAUUCGAUACGGGCAGGCUCGAGUUCGGUAGGGGAGACUGGAAUUCCUGGUGUAGCGGUGAAAUGCGCAGAUAUCAGGAGGAACACCGGUGGCGAAGGCGGGUCUCUGGGCCGAUAUUGACGCUGAGGUGCGAAAGCGUGGGGAGCAAACAGG